rnacentral:lncRNA from 1 species
CAAGUCCCCUACCUGUUUCUGGAAAUCAUUUGAGAUUUUCCAGUGUCUUUUCUAAACUAUAAGAAUGACUGUUGAAGGCAUUAUCAGUUUUUCUCGAUAGAAGAUUGGAAUAAUACAUUGAUUUCUAUGGGGGGGCUAUAAUGAAUUUAUAGUUGAUUAAUCCAAUUUUUACCUCAACAAAUAACUUCUAGGAUUUUAUUAUUUUUAGCCAAAACAGAAUGUCAUCCAUAUGAGUGUAAUAAAAGCCAGAAGAUGUAACUCUAGCUCUCUUCCAAGUAGUAGCAACAAAUUUUGACACCAAGUUGGGUUAUUUGUCAUUCCUAUGGUAAAACUUUCCAAAGCCAUCCUUCCAUUGGUUCAGAUAAGUUUAAAAAAGAAAGUACACUGAAAGCAAAUCUUUUACAAUCUUUAGGAUACAAAAGUAUAGUAUAGAAACGGUCCAUUAAAUCUAACAGUGUAAUAAGUCAUUCCAUAGGAAUAGUAACAGCUGUGGAAAGCCUGGUUGUAAAGGUCCAGUUAAUCCUGUGGUAACGUUCACUUGAUACAGAUCUUAUAGCAAACACCAUUUUCCUCCUUAAUCACCAAAACAGGAGAAUCGUGUCCAUGGUCAGAUUCUUUUAAUCUGCUCUUUCUUUCAGAUGUUCCAAGAGUAAUGGCUGGGAGACUCGUGUCUUUUAUUUUUUUAUGGGGAUCUUCAGAAAGCCAGGUUACAGGAUCAUCAUGAUACUAUUCAGGAACUCCUAGCAAAAAUACACCAAGUUUUGUCUGUUACAUUUUAGAAUAGGAUUUCAAAAUUGUUAUUUCUUGCAACUCCUUUCCCAGACUGUUUCCAGCAGUUGAUCCUUGUGAGAACAUCAUCUGUUCAGCAGGGGUAUUGGGCAUGCCUAGGUUUUAAACAACAUCUCAAAAAUGAACCGCCAGCACUCACAGCACAUAUGCCUGGAAGGAAACUGAUUUACCCUCAUCAGUUUUCCAAUUAAGAAUUUUGGAACUUUUUGAGGCCCAUGGGAAACUCCUACUCCUCUGAGCUCUGCUUGGGUGCCAUGAAUAGGCCAGUGGGAAGGCCAAGAUUGAUGGGAAAGAAGUGAGAUCUUGACACCAGUGUCUAGCAAUCCCUCAAAUUUCUUACCUACUAUCCAUAGAGACCUGGUGUUCCUCUUUAGCAGUUCCAUCUAGUACACAUCUGAGGACCCAAAGACAUUCUCUGCCACAUUCCUGAACAGACUUUAUCCAGUUAAACUUUGUUCAAUAACCGUUAACAAUACAUUGUCCUUUUCCUAAAGUUUGGAUGCCAAGAGGAACAGAAGCCAUAGCUUUAUUCUCACCAAAUAUAAUCCCAUUCUAUAGUUCCUGGAAAAAUCUGCAAGUCCUUUAUGGUGACACUCCUUAUGGCAAAAGGCCCAAAUAUUCCAGUAGGUGUGAUCUGGACCUCCAUUUCUUGUGUUAAUAUGUAUCUGGAGUUGAGACCGAGGUCAUUAAGAUUUUUCCUGAAAAGUUUUGGUGCAUAGGAGUGGUGGGCAUUAAAAAUGGCUGUUGGGUUGACAUUCUCCCCUGAAAAUAAGUCUGAUGCCUUCAUGUAGUUUCUAUGAAAAAAAAAAAAGCAACAAAUAAAUAAGUGGCCAUUCUUCACCACAACUCAGGAAUCUAUACUCAUUUCCCCAACAAUUUCCUUGUUUACAAUGAGAAUAUAAACCUGGCAAUUUAGCCAUCAAGACCUGAGCUUUGUAGACAUUGUCAGUUAAAAUGCCCAGAAGGAUCAUAUUUAAAGAUCUGUUACCAUUAUCUUUAUUCGUUUUUCCCCUCGUUGGCUGCCAAUAAUUGAGGCACCUUUUGGCAUUGGAGGGCAGCGGCCAGAGAGAACACUUGUGAAUAUGGAGACCAAUAUCAGCAAAGAAGCAGAGGUAAUUGAUAUCUCUAUUUUUUUCUUAAAGGAUGGAUGGCAGUCUGGCAUGCUGUAUUAGCAUUCUCAUAUACCAGUUGUUUAACAAUUCCCCAUCAACCACCAGGCUGUUGACUACCUGCAAAAAAAUGGAGUGAACACAGUUCAGGAAUUGAGUCAUGCGAUAAGUCUGUGGGGUAGUGGACCAAGCCACCAGAACUGGUAGCAAAAGACUGAAUGAUUGGCUGGUGAGUUUGUCAGAGGAUGGUCUACUAAAAAACGUGAAGAUUCUGGAUGAGACCAUGCAGGAAGAGCUGCCAUGGGCAAGUGAGAUACCUAUAGAUGGCCCAUUGUGUUGCUUCACUGUAGCCAGUGCACUCUGUUAAGACACAACCUCAGGGCUUUCAUCCCAGGAUUGUUUCUUGCUGCUUUCUCUCGUUUGUCAUUGUCAUACUCCUCAUUCAUUUGUCUUGGUGUGAGUUGACCCUGGGAGGUCCUCACUGCCUGUAGUCUGCUGUUAUUAUCUCCUGAGUGAUAGCCCAUCCUAGUGUGUAAAUUUCCUAUAGAUCAAUAUGAAGAUGAACUUUUAUGAAUUAAUGUUGUUUAGAUGAAUUAAUUUUAUAAAAAU